rnacentral:rRNA from 1 species
GACGAACGCUGGCGGCGUGCUUAACACAUGCAAGUCGAACGGAAAGGCCCUGCUUUUGUGGGGUGCUCGAGUGGCGCACGGGUGAGUAACACGUGAGUAACCUGCCCUUGACUUUGGGAUAACUUCAGGAAACUGGGGCUAAUACCGGAUAGGAGCUCCUGCUGCAUGGUGGGGGUUGGAAAGUUUCGGCGGUUGGGGCUGGACUCGCGGCUUAUCCGCUUGUUGGUGGGGUAGUGGCUUACCAAGGCUUUGACGGGUAGCCGGCCUGAGAGGGUGACCGGCCACAUUGGGACUGAGGUACGGCCCAGACUCCUACGGGAGGCAGCAGGGGGGAAUAUUGCACAAUGGGCGGAAGCCUGAUGCAGCAACGCCGCGUGCGGGAUGACGGCCUUCGGGUGAUAAACCGCUUUCGCCGGUGACGAAGCGGGAGUGACGGUAAUGGGUAAAGAAGCACCGGCUAACUACGUG